AUGCAUGUCUAAGUACACAUUUUUAAUAAAAUGAAACUGCGAAUGGCUCAUUAAAUCAGCUACGGUUCCUUUGAUAAAACACAGUUACUUGGAUAACUGUGGUAAUUCUAGAGCUAAUACAUGCAACAAUGCCCUUUCUUUACGGGAAGGGUGCACUUAUUAGAUCAAAACCAACCGGCUUUCGGGUCGAAGUUUUGAUGACUCUGGAUAAUUGUUUCGAUCGCACGGCCUUAGUGUCGGCGACGUUUCUUUCAAAUGUCUGCCCUAUCACACUAUAGAUGGUAGGCAAAUUGUCUACCAUGGUUAUAACGGGUAACGGGGAAUCAGGGUUCGAUUCCGGAGAGGGAGCCUGAGAAACAGCUACCACAUCCAAGGAAGGCAGCAGGCGCGCAAAUUACCCACUCUCAAAACGAGGAGGUAGUGACAAAAAAUAACGAUGCGGGACUCAAUCGAGGCCCCGUAAUCGGAAUGAGUACACUUUAAAUCCUUUAACGAGGAUCAAUUGGAGGGCAAGUCUGGUGCCAGCAGCCGCGGUAAUUCCAGCUCCAAUAGCGUAUAUUAAAGUUGUUGCAGUUAAAAAGCUCGUAGUUGGAUCUAAGGAUUUGGACGGAUGGUACGCUUCAGGGCGUGACUGUCUGUCUGGCCUAUAUCAGUCGUGGAAGCCUUAAGUGCUCUUCAUUGAGUGCUUUUGGUGCCCGACGCCAUUACUUUGAGAAAAUUAGAGUGCUUAAAGCAGGCAUAAUGCUUGUAUACUGUUGCAUGGAAUAAUAAAAUAGGAGUUUGCUUCUAUUUUGUUGGUAUUCGGAAGUAAACUAAUGAUUAACGGGGACAGACGGGGGCAUUUGUAUGGAGGCGCUAGAGGUGAAAUUCUGUGACCGUCUCCAGACAAACUACUGCGAAAGCAUUUGCCAGGAAUGUUUUCAUUAAUCAAGAACGAAAGUCAGAGGUUCGAAGACGAUCAGAUACCGUCCUAGUUCUGACCAUAAAUGAUGCCAUCUAGCAAUUCCCGAAGUUUGCUAGUACGAACUUGGGAGCGGCCCCCGGGAAACCAAAGACUUUGGGUUCCGGGGGAAGUAUGGUUGCAAAGCUGAAACUUAAAGGAAUUGACGGAAGGGCACCACCAGGAGUGGAGCCUGCGGCUUAAUUUGACUCAACACGGGAAACCUCACCCGGCCCGGACACUGUAAUGAUUGACAGAUUAACAGCUCUUUCUUGAUCUGGUGGUUGGUGGUGCAUGGCCGUUCUUAGUUGGUGGAGUGAUUUGUCUGGUUAAUUCCGAUAACGAACGAGACUCUACCCUGCUAAAUAGUACGCUGAUAUAUAUAAAGUCAGUGCUGACUUCUUAGAGGGACUAACGGCGUUUAGCCGUGUGAGAAAGAGCAAUAACAGGUCUGUGAUGCCCUUAGAUGUUCGGGGCCGCACGCGCGCUACACUAACUACAGCAACGGGUAUGAUCCUGGUUAGAAAUGACUGGGUAACCCGAUUGAAUCGUAUUUGUGACAGGGAUCGAGGUUUGCAAUUAUCUCUCGUGAACGAGGAAUUCCCAGUAAGCGCAAGUCAUUAGCUUGUGCUGAUUACGUCCCUGCCCUUUGUACACACCGCCCGUCGCUACUACCGAUUGAACGGUUUAGUGAGGUCCUUGGAUUGA
rnacentral:rRNA from 1 species